AUGUUUUUCAUGUUGGCUCUAACAAGAGAAAGCAUGACGGGCAAGGUUUCCCUAAGCCUCAGAAAAAGCAAGUCAAGAAAGAAAGCACUAAGCCAUUCAACCCUAAGGCAUUCAAAGGUAAAGAAGCCAGCAGUUCUUCUUCUGCUCCUAGUAGCUCCAUUGCUGGAGAAAAUGCUUGUAACUUCUGCAAAGAGGAGGGACACUAUCAAAGGGACUGCCCAGGCUUUCUAA
rnacentral:rRNA from 1 species